rnacentral:rRNA from 1 species
GAUGAACGCUGGCGGCGUGCCUAAUACAUGCAAGUCGAGCGAACAGAUGAGGAGCUUGCUCCUCUGACGUUAGCGGCGGACGGGUGAGUAACACGUGGAUAACCUACCUAUAAGACUGGGAUAACUUCGGGAAACCGGAGCUAAUACCGGAUAAUAUAUUGAACCGCAUGGUUCAAUAGUGAAAGACGGUUUUGCUGUCACUUAUAGAUGGAUCCGCGCCGCAUUAGCUAGUUGGUAAGGUAACGGCUUACCAAGGCAACGAUGCGUAGCCGACCUGAGAGGGGGUUCGCCCAACCGGAAACUGAAAACCGUUCCAGAUCCCAACGGGAGGCAGCAGUGGGAAAUCUUCCGCAAUGGGGGAAAGCCUGACGAGGCAACGCCGCGUGGGUGAGGAAGGUCUUCGGAUCGUAAAACUCUGUUAUUAGGAAAGAACAAAUGUGUAAGUAACUAUGCACGUCUGAACGGUACCAAAUCAGAAAGCCACGGCUAACUACGU